rfam:Schistosoma curassoni strain Dakar, Senegal genome assembly, scaffold: SCTD_scaffold0003728
AUCCAGCUGACAAGUCCCAAAAAGGAUGAAACACGCGUCCUGGAU